UACGUAGGGUGCAAGCGUUGUCCGGAAUUAUUGGGCGUAAAGAGCUCGUAGGCGGUCUGUCGCGUCGGAUGUGAAAACCCAGGGCUCAACCCUGGGCCUGCAUUCGAUACGGGCAGACUAGAGUUCGGUAGGGGAGACUGGAAUUCCUGGUGUAGCGGUGAAAAUGCGCAGAUAUCAGGAGGAACACCGAUUGCGAAGGCAGCUCGCUGGGACGGUACUGACGCUGAGGCGCGAAAGCGUGGGGAGCGAACAGG
rnacentral:rRNA from 1 species